GUUUCAUUCUCCUAUUUCUCUUUCUCCCUUUCUACAUCUCAACGCCUCCCCUCCCCGCCCCCCAACUACUACUUGCCUACUUCACCAUCUUCCUUCUUCUACUACUCAGUAAAUCGAGCUUAAGGGCUGGCAUGAAUUAUAUGUGCAGCUUCGGGACAGAACUUCAAAGUUACUUCUACAGUCCUACUGAAGACGAAGUUUGAAAAGUUUGAAGUCACGGAUCUAAUGAACGUGGAGUAAUUUAUGCCAAAGAGUGGUACUGGUUUGAACAAUCAUCUUGUUGGCGUAUUAGUAAUUUGUAUGACAGUUUCUUUUUAAAGAAAUUUUCAUUGUAAUCCAAAUUGUAAAGUAUAAAUAUUAGUGUAAUUUUCUAAUUGUGGAUUACCUAAACUGAUUUUUUUUUUUUGAA